UUGAAGCAAUCAGUGUCAGAGAAAUCAUUUGAGCUAGAAGAAGAUGAACCUAGAACCAUUUUGCAGUUUACGGGGCAAAGAAACAUUGUUUAAAGGAAUGACCUUUACAAUUACACUCUUGCACUCAAGUUUUGGGGAUUUACAAUUUGCCAUCAAUUCUGAUAUAUAAGCAAAACGGAUGAUCUCUAAUGUUCGGGAAGCCUCCAUUACCAUCAAGAAUCAGUGUUAUCUAACCCGAAAGUCAGGGGUGAUCAAAAUCACUAGCUCGUCUCUAUAAAACGUCGAGCGUUGAGAUACAAAAGAAAAGAAAACUAUCUCACAAGAUCUGGAGUUGGAAUCACUUUUUCCAGGCAUGUCUCCAUGAUCUGGAGUUGGAGAAUGGUAUUGCUGUUCUGAAUAAAGAAAACUAUCUCACAAGAUCUGGAGUUGGAAUCACUUUUUCCAGGCAUGUCUCCAUGAUCUGGAGUUGGAGAAUGGUAUUGCUGUUCCGAAUAAAGGUUCUGCCAUUGGUAUUGGAUUUGGAACUUUGGGAUCGAAACUGCUUUAGCUACACUUACAUAGGAUCUAGAAAGCAACUAGAAUAAGGGGAUUGAGUUUAUGCUUUCGGUCAGCGGAGGCAACAUUCUAUCAUGGAUUCGACAUGAUUAUUUUGUUGUGGAUGAUAAGACUGCUGCACAUCAUGAGGUCACACAUUGCAGCUUCAAGCAUUCUUCAAAUCUUGCAUACUCCAUGGCUAGAUGGACAAAAUUUCAACUAUUAUACUCUACAAAGCAUGAAGCUGACAACUUUUCAGAUCAAUACACGAAUGAGCUUCGUGGUUGU